rnacentral:rRNA from 1 species
GGACGGCUGAGUAACACGUAGGAAUGUACCCCAAAGUGAGGGAUAAGCUCCAGAAAUGGUGUCUAAUACCGCAUAUGGUCUUCGGAUUAAAGCUUUUAUUAGCGCUUUGGGAACAGCCUGCGUCUGAUUAGAUAGUUGGUGAGGUAAAGGCUCACCAAGUCGACGAUCAGUAGCUGGUCUGAGAGGAUGACCAGCCAGACUGGAACUGAGACACGGUCCAGACUCC